rnacentral:lncRNA from 1 species
CAGGAUGUGACUUGACAGAGCCUUACUUGUUCCCCAAUAUCUAUAGUUUUCUAAGUUCAGCAUAAAACUUGUAAAAAUCAUCCGGAGAAUUAUAUUCAUGAUGGUUCAAAAUAAUGAUGGUUAACUGAGAGACAUUGGAUUUUUCAUUUUUUAGCAAUUUGCGAUACAGUGAAAUACAUAAUGUUUGCUGAGACCCUUGAGUGUAGGGCAUUAAUUACAUUUGUCAUUUCCAAACCUUACACUGGUGAUUAAAAAGGAAUCCACUCACCUCAAUAGUUGCUGUACGCAUGUGUAAGAUGAGACCUAUUUGAACAGCUUUAAAUGUUAGUGCUGAGGAGCAUAUAGAAAGAAUCAUGUUGAAGUUAUGGAAGAGAGAGAAGUGAUAAUUGAUAAAAUAAGGCCCCAAGGAGCAUCCAGAAUACUAGCCAUAUAUCUCAUGGGUGAUUAAAGGAAGUGAAGUCUCUUUCU